GCUCCAUUGGCGCAAUUGGUUAGCGCGCCGUACUUAUAAUGCGGAGGUUGGCAGUUCGACCCUGCCAUGGAGCA